GUUCGCACGCUUUUUUCUGGCUCCCGUUGUCUCGCGUUCCGUCGUUGCUCUGGUGCCCUGGACUGCUGUGAAUGUGUUUUUAUGCCCUACUAGUGUUGCCUGGGGGUGCUUUUAUGUGUGCACCCUGGAAGAUAGGUCCAGAAGCCUUGCGAUUUCUUAGAUUAAAGCUAAGUGUACUCGUGACCCUACCAGCACUUUUCAAGAUACUUUCGACGUAUUCAUUGCGGUGAACAACGCGGUUGGGACAGCACACUCACGACGUGGGAAGGUCACAGAAAUGUUGAA